UGUUAAAAAUUUCAUCAAUUUCUACUAUUAAAAACUGGUCCCUGUACAUCAGAAUGAGGUACACAUGGCACGCCUGUCUAAUUAUUCUGUUAGUCAUGCUAGCUUUUAACAGUAGAAAUGGAUGAAACUUUUAAUA
rnacentral:pre_miRNA from 1 species